rnacentral:rRNA from 1 species
UACGUAGGAUCCAAGCGUUGUCCGGAUUUACUGGGCGUAAAGGGCUCGUAGGCGGCCAACUAAGUCAGACGUGAAAUCCCUCAGCUUAACUGGGGAACUGCGUCUGAUACUGGAUGGCUUGGAUUCGGGAGAGGAAUGCGGAAUUCCAGGUGUAGCGGUGAAAUGCGUAGAUAUCUGGAGGAACACCGGUGGCGAAGGCGGCAUUCUGGACCGAUAUUGACGCUGAGGAGCGAAAGCCAGGGGGAGCAAACGGG